GAAAAGGUCACUAGCAAAAACUUAAGCAGAGCCUAUUUGAUGACUGAAUCAAACACUCGAAGAUGAGAAAAGUUGACCUGAGAAGAUGAGGGGCAAGGCGUAGAAACAUAAGCCAAGGAGGUGGGAGACUGAGUCUUAGAGUUUCAGCCGAACUGACACUGGGACUCAGAUUUCUUACCAGCUCAUUCAGCUAUUUGAUAAAGACUACAGAGGAAAUGAAGCUAACUUCCCCAGUGGCUCAGAUGUUACGUGUUGUAAGCAGUUGGAAUGAUGGAAACCAACCAGGACCUCAUCUCUUGGUAUAGAAGCCACAGCUGUAGCAGCUCAAGUGCCUGGCAGAUGCCAACAGAACCCCGCCACCCUUGAACUAGAAGCAUCUGUCCCUCAUCCCACAUGUGAAACGGAGGGUGGAGGAGUGG
ensembl:lncRNA